UACGUAGGGCGCGAGCGUUGUCCGGAAUUAUUGGGCGUAAAGAGCUCGUAGGCGGCCGGUUGCGUCUGCUGUGAAAUCCCGGGGCUUAACCCCGGGCGUGCAGUGGAUACGGGCCGGCUGGAGGCAGGCAGGGGAGAAUGGAAUUCCCGGUGUAGCGGUGAAAUGCGCAGAUAUCGGGAGGAACACCGGUGGCGAAGGCAGCUCGCUGGGACGUUACUGACGCUGAGACGCGAAAGCGUGGGGAGCAAACAGG
rnacentral:rRNA from 1 species